rnacentral:tRNA from 1 species
GGGAAGGUGCCGGAGCGGUUGAACGGGACGGUCUCGAAAACCGUUGUGGGGUUUACCCCACCGUGGGUUCGAAUCCCACCCUUCCCG